rnacentral:rRNA from 1 species
CCUACGGGAGGCAGCAGCCGCGGUAAUAUAGCGCAAUGGCCGCAAGGCUGACGCAGCGACGCCGCGUGGGGGAGGAAGGUCUUCGGAUCGUAAACCCCUGUUGCCCGGGACGAACGACUGGUUUCGACCAGUGUGACGGUACCGGGUGAGGAAGCACCGGCUAACUCCGUGCCAGCAGCCGCGGUAAU